rnacentral:rRNA from 1 species
UACGUAGGUGACAAGCGUUGUCCGGAUUUACUGGGCGUAAAGAGCGCGCAGGCGGUCGAUCAAGUCGAGUGUGAAAGCCCCCGGCUCAACUGGGGAGGGUCAUUCGAUACUGAUCGACUCGAAGGCAGGAGAGGGUAGUGGGAUUCCCGGUGUAGUGGUGAAAUGCGUAGAUAUCGGGAGGAACACCAGUGGCGAAGGCGGCCUUCUGGGAUGUUUCUGACGCUCAUACACGAAAGCUAGGGGAGCGAACGGG